UUACCGCGGCUGCUGGCACGGAGUUAGCCGGUGCUUCUUCUGUGGGUGAUGUCCUUCCUCGAGGGUAUUAACCCCAAGGCCUUCUUCCCCACUGAAAGUGCUUUACAACCCGAAGGCCUUCUUCACACACGCGGCAUGGCUGGAUCAGGGUUGCCCCCAUUGUCCAAUAUUCCCCACUGCUGCCUCCCGUAGGAGUUCGGGCCGUGUCUCAGUCCCGAUGUGGCUGAUCAUCCUCUCAGACCAGCUACGGAUCGUCGCCUUGGUGAGCCGUUACCUCACCAACCAGCUAAUCCGACAUAGGCUCAUCCGAUAGCGCAAGGUCCGAAGAUCCCCUGCUUUCUCCCGUAGGACGUAUGCGGUAUUAGCCUGAGUUUCCCCAGGUUAUCCCCCACUACCGGGCAGAUUCCUAUGCAUUACUCACCCGUCCGCCGCUCGACGCCCGGGAGCAAGCUCCCGUCGUUUCCGCUCGACUUGCAUGUGUUAGGCCUGCCGCCAGCGUUCAAUCUGAGCCAUGAUCAAACUC
rnacentral:rRNA from 1 species